UAUGUUUGCCAGACACUGGCCUAGCCU
rnacentral:piRNA from 1 species